rnacentral:rRNA from 1 species
GACGGAGGGUGCAAGCGUUGUUCGGAAUUACUGGGCGUAAAGGGCGCGUAGGCGGUUCGUUAAGUUCGGUGUGAAAGCCCCCGGCUCACCUGGGGAACUGCGCCGGAAACUGACGAGCUAGAGUACCGGAGAGGAGGGUGGAAUUCCUGGUGUAGCGGUGAAAUGCGUAGAUAUCAGGAGGAACACCGGUGGCGAAGGCGGCCCUCUGGACGAGUACUGACGCUGAGGCGCGAAAGCGUGGGGAUCAAACAGGAUUAGAAACCCCCGUAGUCC